GGGUGACAGCCCCGUACACAAAAGCGCAUGUGCUGUGAGCUCGAUGAGUAGGGCGGGACACGUGGUAUCCUGUCUGAAUAUGGGGGGACCAUCCUCCAAGGCUAAAUACUCCUGACUGACCGAUAGUGAACCAGUACCGUGAGGGAAAGGCGAAAAGAACCCCGGCGAGGGGAGUGAAAAAGAACCUGAAACCGUGUACGUACAAGCAGUGGGAGCCCCACCACCAAAGCAUUUGCUGUACCGCGUUGACGGAGCGAAGCGACGUCAAACCGAUAAAACAGCAGUGUAAAGUGAGCCGCAGGGCGCUUUGCGCGACAGCGCAAAGGCAGGCGGUUUCGCGUAGCGAAAGCGAAUGCUUUGGGGUGGGGUGACUGCGUACCUUUUGUAUAAUGGGUCAGCGACUUAUAUUCUGUAGCAAGGUUAACCGAAUAGGGGAGCCGGAGGGAAACCGAGUCUUAAUUGGGCGUUAAGUUGCAGGGUAUAGACCCGAAACCCGGUGAUCUAGCCAUGGGCAGGUUGAAGGUUGGGUAACACUAACUGGAGGACCGAACCGACUAAUGUUGAAAAAUUAGCGGAUGACCUGUGGCUGGGGGUGAAAGGCCAAUCAAACCGGGAGAUAGCUGGUUCUCCCCGAAAGCUAUUUAGGUAGCGCCUCGUGAAUUCAUCUCCGGGGGUAGAGCACUGUUUCGGCUAGGGGGCCAUCCCGGCUUACCAACCCGAUGCAAACUGCGAAUACCGGAGAAUGUUAUCACGGGAGACACACGGCGGGUGCUAACGUCCGUCGUGAAGAGGGAAACAACCCAGACCGCCAGCUAAGGUCCCAAAGUCAUGGUUAAGUGGGAAACGAUGUGGGAAGGCCCAGACAGCCAGGAUGUUGGCUUAGAAGCAGCCAUCAUUUAAAGAAAGCGUAAUAGCUCACUGGUCGAGUCGGCCUGCGCGGAAGAUGUAACGGGGCUAAACCAUGCACCGAAGCUGCGGCAGCGACACUGUGUGUUGUUGGGUAGGGGAGCGUUCUGUAAGCCUGUGAAGGUGUGUCGUGAGGCAUGCUGGAGGUAUCAGAAGUGCGAAUGCUGACAUAAGUAACGAUAAAGCGGGUGAAAAGCCCGCUCGCCGGAAGACCAAGGGUUCCUGUCCAACGUUAAUCGGGGCAGGGUGAGUCGACCCCUAAGGCGAGGCCGAAAGGCGUAGUCGAUGGGAAACGGGUUAAUAUUCCCGUACUUGGUGUUACUGCGAAGGGGGGACGGAGAAGGCUAUGUUGGCCGGGCGACGGUUGUCCCGGUUUAAGCGUGUAGGUGUGUGUUCCAGGUAAAUCCGGUUCACUUUAACACUGAGGCGUGACGACGAGGCACUACGGUGCUGAAGCAACAAAUGCCCUGCUUCCAGGAAAAGCCUCUAAGCAUCAGGUAACAUCAAAUCGUACCCCAAACCGACACAGGUGGUCAGGUAGAGAAUACCAAGGCGCUUGAGAGAACUCGGGUGAAGGAACUAGGCAAAAUGGUGCCGUAACUUCGGGAGAAGGCACGCUGACACGUAGGUGAAGUGAUUUACUCAUGGAGCUGAAGUCAGUCGAAGAUACCAGCUGGCUGCAACUGUUUAUUAAAAACACAGCACUGUGCAAACACGAAAGUGGACGUAUACGGUGUGACGCCUGCCCGGUGCCGGAAGGUUAAUUGAUGGGGUCAGCGCAAGCGAAGCUCCUGAUCGAAGCCCCGGUAAACGGCGGCCGUAACUAUAACGGUCCUAAGGUAGCGAAAUUCCUUGUCGGGUAAGUUCCGACCUGCACGAAUGGCGUAAUGAUGGCCAGGCUGUCUCCACCCGAGACUCAGUGAAAUUGAACUCGCUGUGAAGAUGCAGUGUACCCGCGGCAAGACGGAAAGACCCCGUGAACCUUUACUAUAGCUUGACACUGAACAUUGAGCCUUGAUGUGUAGGAUAGGUGGGAGGCUUUGAAGUGUGGACGCCAGUCUGCAUGGAGCCGACCUUGAAAUACCACCCUUUAAUGUUUGAUGUUCUAACGUGGACCCGUUACCCGGGUUGCGGACAGUGUCUGGUGGGUAGUUUGACUGGGGCGGUCUCCUCCUAAAGAGUAACGGAGGAGCACGAAGGUUGGCUAAUCCUGGUCGGACAUCAGGAGGUUAGUGCAAUGGCAUAAGCCAGCUUGACUGCGAGCGUGACGGCGCGAGCAGGUGCGAAAGCAGGUCAUAGUGAUCCGGUGGUUCUGAAUGGAAGGGCCAUCGCUCAACGGAUAAAAGGUACUCCGGGGAUAACAGGCUGAUACCGCCCAAGAGUUCAUAUCGACGGCGGUGUUUGGCACCUCGAUGUCGGCUCAUCACAUCCUGGGGCUGAAGUAGGUCCCAAGGGUAUGGCUGUUCGCCAUUUAAAGUGGUACGCGAGCUGGGUUUAGAACGUCGUGAGACAGUUCGGUCCCUAUCUGCCGUGGGCGCUGGAGAACUGAGGGGGGCUGCUCCUAGUACGAGAGGACCGGAGUGGACGCAUCACUGGUGUUCGGGUUGUCAUGCCAAUGGCACUGCCCGGUAGCUAAAUGCGGAAGAGAUAAGUGCUGAAAGCAUCUAAGCACGAAACUUGCCCCGAGAUGAGUUCUCCCUGAGACUUA
rnacentral:rRNA from 1 species